rnacentral:lncRNA from 1 species
CAAGGGAGGGGUCGGGCCUUCUACUAGGAAGAGAUAAUGGGAGAAGAGAGAUGGUGGAGAAUUGCAGUGGCAAUGGUUUUCAUAGUUGGAAAGUUGAUGGAUACCAAAACAGGGGUUCUCACUGGAACUAGACCAGCAGCAGUGUUUUUCAUCAACGGAGAACAAAGGAGAGAGAAAAUUGAAAAAGUGGAUGGGCAUUUACCUCAUCUCUGACAAGGAUCAGCUACGGCCACAGUGACGAUGGUGGAUGGUUGAAAAAAAUCUAGAAAAAAUAGAAGAGAGGGAGAGAUAAAAGAAGAGUAGAGAGAGUGUGUGGGGUGCUACCUCACAAGAAUCGUAGGGAGAUUAAAUAACGGGCAUGACUCUCCUAUCUUGCUGGAGUUUUAGGAGAAGGCAGAGUCCACUUCCAAC